rnacentral:rRNA from 1 species
GAGGGGUCUAUAUCCUAUUAGCUUGUUGGUGGGGUAACGGCCUACCAAGGCGAUGAUGGGUAGCGGGCCUGAGAGGGUGGCCCGCCACACUGGGACUGAGACACUGCCCAGACUCCUACGGGAGGCUGCAGUCGAGAAUCAUUCGCAAUGGGCGAAAGCCUGACGCAGCCACGCCGCGUGAGGGAUGAAGGCUUUCGGGUUGUAAACCUCUUUCAGCAGGGACGAAAAUGACGGUACCUGCAGAAGAAGCUCCGGCCAACUACGUGCCAGCAGCCGCGGUAAUACGAAGGGACCUAGCGUAGUUCGGAAUUACUGGGCUUAAAGAGCACGUAGGUGGUUGAAAAAGUUGGUGGUGAAAUCCCAAGGCUCAACCUUGGAACUGCCAUCAAAACUUUUUAGCUAGAGUGUGAUAGAGGGAAGUAGAAUUUCUAGUGUAGAGGUGAAAUUCGUAGAUAUUAGAAAGAAUACCGAUUGCGAAGGCAACUUCCUGGAUCACUACUGACACUAAGGUGCGAAAGCAUGGGUAGCGAAGAGGAUUAGAUACCCUCGUAGUCCAUGCCGUAAACGAUGUGUGCUAGACGUUGGAAACUUUGUUUUCAGUGUCGCAGCGAAAGCGUUAAGCACACCGCCUGGGGAGUACGACCGCAAGGUUAAAACUCAAAUGAAUUGACGGGGACCCGCACAAGCAGUGGAGCAUGUGGUUUAAUUCGAAGAUACGCGCAGAACCUUACCAACUCUUGACAUGUUCGUCGCGACUCUAAGAGAUUAGAGUUUUCGGUUCGGCCGGACGAAACACAGGUGCUGCAUGGCUGUCGUCAGCUCGUGUCGUGAGAUGUUGGGUUAAGUCCCGCAACGAGCGCAACCCUUACUUUUAGUUGCCAUCAUUUAGUUGGGCACUCUGAAAGAACUGCCAGUGAUAAGCUGGAGGAAGGUGGGGAUGACGUCAAGUCCUCAUGGCCCUUACGUGUUGGGCUACACACGUGCUACAAUGGUAUCUACAACAGGAAGCAAGAUGGCAACAUUAAGCAAAUCCUAAAAAGAUACCUCAGUUCGGAUUGCACUCUGCAACUCGAGUGCAUGAAGCUGGAAUUACUAGUAAUCGCGGAUCAGCGUGCCGCGGUGAAUACGUUCCCGGGUCUUGUACACACCGCCCGUCACACCAUGGGAGUUGGUUCUACCUUAAGGCAAAGUUUAAAAACUUUGACCACGGUAUAGUCGGCGACUGGGGUGAAGUCGUAACAAGGUAACC